AAAAAAUACAUAUUUACAAUAAGAAUGGAAAUACAUUCUGAUCAGUUGUGUUUAAUUUCAGUAUCUGUCGCAUCUGGUCUACUAAACUUUACAAAUAUGCGUUAUUUAUUACUCUGAACAUAAGAUAUUUUCGUUUAAUGUAACUGUGUAACAAUGGCCUCAUUUUCAUUACAAACUAUAAUUAUCUGUUGGCUUCUUAAAUACGUUACCACUACGGUAUAACUAAAGUUAAUACUCUAGAAAACCAACUACAAAAAGUAGACAGUAUACUCAAAGAUGUUAACCGAACUAAAAGUGAAUAUAUAGCAGGUUCCUUUAACAAAUUACCAUCGCAUUGCUUGAAGGUUCAAUGUCGCUACACCUGCUUUAACGGCCAAGAUAAAGAAAUUGUCAGCGAUAUUCAGUACGCCAUAUCCAAUUCUAAUCAUUCAGACACGUGUGAUGUUAUUGACGAGCUUCGUCUAUACAACUAUGAAUUUAUUAAUGCAACAGUGCCGGUCGGAUUCUUAUCAACUAUUGGUGAUAAAGUCAAAAAUAUCUAUAUAGCUAUCUCAAAUAUCACAGUUAUUGAGAGAGGUGCUUUUGGUGGAGGUAUCUUCAAUAACAUUGUUCUUGAGGAUCUUAGGCUGAAAGAGAUUACUAAUGGGUUUUUUAAUAACAUCUCAGAAGAUUUAAAGGGAAUUUCUAUUACUCAGCGAGAAGAAUCAGUACAAUGUAUAUAUCCAAAUUUUCUUGACAAUGUAAAAUUUCAAAUUGAGCACUUAGUAAUACGAGUAGGACUCCAAUGUGUAAGAAAUGUCACAGCUCAUGACCCUGUAAUGGGAUUACUCGCCUUUGUUGACUUCAGCUACAACAACUUCAGUACCAAAUUACUUCAAGACACGUUCAGUAAACUAACCAUGGUUGAACGGUUAGUUUUAUCGAAUUCAAAUAUCAAUUACCUACCACAAUAUAUUUUCCAAGGUAUGAUAUACAAAUAUUUUUAUA